GAUUUUCCAUCGUUGAAUAUUACACAAAAUUAACCUCCCACCCCUCUUCCCCGGCCGCUCAUUCUCGCGGUUGCAUCCUUUCAUCGCCGCCUACCGCGCCACCAGCUGAUCGGAGCUGCCUUUGAGCGCAGCCGCCUGUUACUGGAGCCAUCGUCGAUCAGAGCCACCGGCGUCGGAGUAAUCGGCAUUGUGGUGGUUAUCGUGCUCCUCUCCGAUUAAUCUAUCCGAUUGAUUGUUGCUAGCUGCUUAUCUUGGGUGUGAUGGAUCCGUACCGAUCGACUCGACGAAGAGCAGCACGGCGGAGAAGGACUCGCCGGCGAAUCUAAGCUUGAGGGGCUAUGAGAUUCCUAAAGAGAGAAGAGAUGGGAGGAGAUCAAAGAUAGAAGACACCAUUAAUCUGCCCCCACCAACCUUUAACAUCCGUUGUCACUGUUUCUUUAAUUGUAAAUCACUUUAUCUUUUCAUGUUCCUGUUUGUACAUGGUUAAUUAAUACUAUAAAUUGUUAUUAUGUUGGAGAUUCAA